rnacentral:lncRNA from 1 species
UAGCAAUUUGAAAUCUAAAAAAGGCAAAUGGGUCCAUUUCAUAUAUUAAAAAGGGUGGGUAAAGAAAGUCAUAAAAAUAAAUAAAUGACCCUGCACAUUGAAUCAUGGGGUACGAUACAAGUAGUUUUAUUUUGAUGCAACGUACAUUUAAGUUGGUUGAACCAAGACAUUUUUUUUAACUUAGACAAUGACUCCUUUGGCAUUUACAAUGAUAAGACUAUGUCCCUCAAUAUCCUUGUCAUUUUCUAUACAACAAUAAAAAACCCCUUUCAUUCCUUUUCACUUCCUUCAUUUCCUUUCUCUCUUCUCUCUCAGUCAAAAAAAAUAAUACACAUUUCUUGAUCUCAAUCAAGGUUCUUGAUUAAUACUUAAUGUGGUUUUGUGAAGGUGUGGUUCAACAAUGAUAAUGGUGGCUUCAAAAGAGAAGACUAAUAGUGGUGGAUGCAUGUUUAGGUACUCGGUUUUGAUUUUGUCUCUUUUGGCUUUGUCCAUUUUGGUUCUACCUUUGGUGAUGCCUCCUCUACCACCACCACCUUUGUUGCUUCUCCUUGUUCCUGUUUUCAUUAUGUUGCUUCUCUUUUUUAUUGCCUUUUCACCUUCUAAAAAAGUUCCAAAUAAGGCUUCUUUUGUUUCUUGAUGUGUAAAUUAUCAAGCUAUAUAGCUAGCCUUUUUAUUCACAUGUAAGUUACUACGUACGUUUAAGGAAGAAUAAGUAGUAUUUUGGAAUAUGAGUUUUUUGAAUUUCUAGGUUUAUAGUAUUCAAUUUUGUUCCUGUUAAGGUUUUAUUUUUUUAGCAAACAAUGUUUAGUUUAUUUCUAUGAUACCAUGGUAAUGACGAGAAACAAUGUAAAUUUUCCAAACAAAAAUAUCUUAAUCAAAUUGGAUGUUUAAUGGGAGCAAAAUGUAUUCAUAUAAUUAACCAUGUAGCUACUUGUGUUUUUUAAUACAAACAGAACGACAUCAUACUCUGGUGUCUGGAAAUUUAUCUAUUGUAAUCUCGACGCAUGUGGAACGUUCAAAUCAAUCUAAGAUGAAAACUAUAAUUAUAAAACUAUUUAUAGAUGCAUUUAUUAUUCUUUUUUCAAAUAUACUUUUUUUUUUUAUAAAGCUAGAAAUUUAAAUAAAAGUCAGGAGAGGCCCGAACUGCAUACAAAACAGUUCAAGCAAAAACAAAAAUACAAACUUAGAAACUCAGAAACAAACAGAAAACCUCAAAUCAUAUCUAAUCUAGUGUAUGGUAAUCCAAGUCUAUCUUUUAUCACUUUUUUCAAAUAUACCACUUAUGAAUAAAACAUAUAUUUGUGACAAAUUUAUUAUUUCAAUAAUUUUUUUAAUACCUGUUUUUUUUUUUAAAAAAAAAAAAAAAGAACUAGUCUUAUAAAAAUGGACGGAGAGAGUAUUUUUUUUAAUAAAGUAGUAGGAGUAGUACUUGUUUAGGGGGGAAGAAAUGUACAUUAUGUUGUGUGUUGGGGGAUGUAUUUUGACUAUUUUCAUUUGAUCAGGUCUUUUGAAUUUUGGUACGUUUAGACGUUGAAAUCUUGUAAAUAAAUCUGGGAACAAGAUUUAGAAUUCUCAAGCAUUUAGUCAAUAAAAACCAUAAUUAUGCUCAAAAAAUGUCCAUUGUCUCCGUCAAAGCAAUCAAAUUUUGAGACAUAUUUUCUUGCCUCUAGCGUAAAUAAGAUUAUUUAAUCUUACACUUAUCAAGAAAUUUUGUCAAAAAGAAACUUGUUUUUUUAUCUAUAAAAAAAGGUUCAAUAUUACUAGUUUGACAAAACAAAACAAAAAAUGUAUAGGUAGGUUGAAGAGGAAACUGAGUUCUGAAAGUUGCUCAGAAACUUAUUCCCACGGUUUUGGUCUGUGUUACCAACAGCAUGAGUCAUUGUCGUGACUUGUGGUGUUUUGCUUAUUUUCACUGUCUCAGAAUUUUCGUGUAAUUUGUUGCAUGCAGUACAGAUUUAGAAAUCUAUUAGACUGGGGUUAAAAAAAAUGAUAAAUAUUAUAUAAAAUUAAAUUAUAGUUAAAUUUAUGACAAGAAAUUAAAAUAAAAUUAUAGAAACAAGCAUAUAUUAGAUCAUCCAUAAUAAAGUGUCUUUUUAUAAUUUUUUAAUAGUAACACAUAAUAAACAUGCAUAAAGAGUGUCGAUUUGAGACAUUGUGUUCAUCAUAUACCCAAAAUUAUUAUUUUUCAAUGGAUGUACCUCACAGGUAUCAAGUGUUAAACACGAGAGACCUCUCUAUUAGGGAUGGUCUAGCCUUCAUCUUCCAUUCAGCGAGUACAAAUUCAUUUUUAUCAUCAAUCAAUUGGUUAAUCUGAUUGAUGCAAACCGACAUUCCAUCAAAUCUCACGAUUUCUUUCUAAUAGUUUCUUUCAACAACACAAACACUAAUAUAUGCGGAUACCAAUUCCCACCCAAUCAAAUUGUGAUCAUUACCUCAUUUGUUUUAUAGUUCACUCUCAAUUUUUCAUCUUAUUUGCCUUUAUAUUUUCAAAGUACAAUCACGACCUUGUUGGACCAAAUAUGCUUGGAUUGGUUGUUAGUGUUAGAUCAAGGACGUAGAAAGCCUCAUAUUUGAGGGGGAUAAUGUUGAUGUGUCGAGUGAAAUAAAAAUCUCAUAUUGAAUGAAGUAGUAGAUGUCGAGAAAAAUGUAAGAAGAUUCAUAUAUCUAUAACCAACUUAAUAACUUAAGGUUUUGAGUGAAGAUGUAGUGUUCUAAUUCAUUUGUGUGGUUUCUCUUAGUCUAAUGUAACGAUUGAAUCAGGGAUUUUAAUGCUCCACCUGAAGUUGCAUGAAAUUUGACUCACGCUCCCCCGUCAAGUCGAUACCUCUUAUUAAAGAGUUUGAAUGAGCAUGAGAAGCAAGUAUGAAC